GUCCACACCGUAAACGAUGGAUACUAGGUGUAGGAGGUAUCGACCCCUUCUGUGCCGCAGUUAACACAAUAAGUAUCCCACCUGGGGAGUACGGUCGCAAGACUGAAACUCAAAGGAAUUGACGGGGCCCGCACAAGCAGUGGAGUAUGUGGUUUAAUUCGAAGCAACGCGAAGAACCUUACCUGGUCUUGACAUCCCGAUGACCGGCAUAGAGAUAUGCCUUUUCUUCGGAACAUCGGUGACAGGUGGUGCAUGGUUGUCGU
rnacentral:rRNA from 1 species